rnacentral:sRNA from 1 species
GCUCAGUGAGGACUUUGUGAGUGUGAAGGUAGACCGUGAGGAGCGGCCUGACGUGGACAAGGUGUACAUGAUGUUCGUGCAGGUGAGCAGCCCUCCUCGGGAGUGUAUGCGCCACAUGGGCUCAGAGCAGCUCCCCUCACCCUCGCCCUCUCUCCGCCAGGCCACCAGCAGCGGCGGGGGCUGGCCCAUGAAUGUGUGGCUGACUCCCAACCUCCAGCCCUUUGUCGGGGGCACCUAUUUCCCUCCUGAGGAUGGCUUGACCCGAGUCGGCUUCCGCACAGUGUUGCUGAGAAUACGAGAACAGUGGAAACAGAACAAGAACACCCUGCUAGAAAAUAGCCAGCGUGUCACCACUGCCCUGCUGGCCCGAUCAGAGAUCAGCGUGGGUGACCGCCAGCUGCCGCCCUCUGCCGCCACCGUGAACAAUCGCUGCUUCCAGCAGCUGGACGAGGGCUAUGAUGAGGAAUACGGUGGCUUCGCUGAGGCCCCCAAGUUUCCCACGCCGGUGAUCCUGAGCUUCCUGUUCUCCUACUGGCUCAGCCAUCGACUGACUCAGGAUGGCUCUCGGGCCCAGCAGAUGGCCUUGCAUACCCUGAAAAUGAUGGCUAACGGGGGCAUCCGGGACCAUGUGGGGCAGGUGACGGGCACUGGGUGUUCCCUGGAGGGGCAGCAGGGGGCUGUGGGGUGGGGCAGAAGCUGGGACUGGCCUCCAGCUUUGUAUCCGCACAGGGCUUUCACCGCUACUCCACAGACCGCCAGUGGCACGUCCCUCACUUUGAGAAGAUGCUCUAUGACCAGGCACAGCUCGCUGUGGCCUAUUCGCAGGCCUUCCAGCUCUCUGGUGAUGAAUUCUACUCUGACGUGGCCAAAGGCAUCCUGCAGUAUGUGGCUCGGAGCCUGAGCCACCGGUCCGGAGGCUUCUAUAGCGCAGAGGAUGCAGACUCGCCCCCAGAGCGGGGCCUGCGGCCCAAAGAGGGCGCCUACUAUGUGUGGACGGUCAAAGAGGUUCAGCAGCUCCUCCCGGAGCCUGUGUUGGGUGCCACUGAGCCGCUG